rnacentral:rRNA from 1 species
AACGAACGCUGGCGGCAGGCCUAACACAUGCAAGUCGAGCGCACCUUCGGGUGAGCGGCGGACGGGUUAGUAACGCGUGGGAACGUGCCCUUCUCUACGGAAUAGCCUCUGGAAACGGAGAGUAAUACCGUAUACGCCCUUUGGGGGAAAGAUUUAUCGGAGAAGGAUCGGCCCGCGUUAGAUUAGGUAGUUGGUGGGGUAACGGCCUACCAAGCCUACGAUCUAUAGCUGGUUUUAGAGGAUGAUCAGCAACACUGGGACUGAGACACGGCCCAGACUCCUACGGGAGGCAGCAGUGGGGAAUCUUAGACAAUGGGCGCAAGCCUGAUCCAGCAAUGCCGCGUGAGUGAUGAAGGCCCUAGGGUUGUAAAGCUCUUUUACCCGGGAAGAUAAUGACUGUACCGGGAGAAUAAGCCCCGGCUAACUCCGUG